UACGUAGGGUGCAAGCGUUGUCCGGAAUUAUUGGGCGUAAAGAGCUCGUAGGCGGUCUGUCGCGUCGGCUGUGAAAACCCGGAGCUCAACUCCGGGCCUGCAGUCGAUACGGGCAGACUGGAGUUCGGCAGGGGAGACUGGAAUUCCUGGUGUAGCGGUGAAAUGCGCAGAUAUCAGGAGGAACACCGGUGGCGAAGGCGGGUCUCGUGGGCCGAUGACUGACGCUGGAGGAGCGAAAGCAUGGGGAGCGAACAGGA
rnacentral:rRNA from 1 species